rnacentral:rRNA from 1 species
AACGAACGCUGGCGGCAUGCCUAACACAUGCAAGUCGAACGAGACCUUCGGGUCUAGUGGCGCACGGGUGCGUAACGCGUGGGAACCUGCCCUUAGGUUCGGAAUAACUCCCCGAAAGGGGUGCUAAUACCGGAUAAUGUCUUCGGCCCAAAGAUUUAUCGCCUUUGGAUGGGCCCGCGUUGGAUUAGCUAGUUGGUAGGGUAAAAGCCUACCAAGGCGACGAUCCAUAGCUGGUCUGAGAGGAUGAUCAGCCACACUGGGACUGAGACACGGCCCAGACUCCUACGGGAGGCAGCAGUGGGGAAUAGUGGACAAUGGGCGAAAGCCUGAUCCAGCAAUGCCGCGUGAGUGAUGAAGGCCUUAGGGUUGUAAAGCUCUUUUACCCGGGAUGAUAAUGACAGUACCGGGAGAAUAAGCUCCGGCUAACUCCGUG